UACGUAGGGGCUAGCGUUGUCCGGAAUCAUUGGGCGUAAAGCGCGCGUAGGCGGCCCGGUAAGUCCGCUGUAAAAGUCCAGGGCUCAACCCUGGAACGCCGGUGGAUACUGUCGGGCUAGAGUCCGGAAGAGGCGAGUGGAAUUCCCGGUGUAGCAGUGAAAUGCGUAGAGAUCGGGAAGGAACACCAGUGGCGAAGGCGGCUACCUGGACCAGCAUUGACACUCAAGCCACGAAAGCGUGGGGAGCAA
rnacentral:rRNA from 1 species